rnacentral:rRNA from 1 species
GAGUUGAUCAUGGCUCAGGACGAACGCUGGCGGCGCGCUUACACAUGCAAGUCGAGCGAGAACCGGCCCUUCGGGGCCGGGGACAGCGGCGAACGGGUGAGUAACACGUGGGUAAUCUGCCCUUGGUACCGGGAUAGCCCGGGGAAACCCGGAUUAAUACCGGAUGGCCUCUCGGGCCCUCGGGCUCGUGAGAAAAGGUAGCUUCGGCCUCCGACCGAGGAUGAGCCCGCGGCCGAUUAGCUUGUUGGUGAGGUAACGGCUCACCAAGGCGACGAUCGGUAGCUGGUCUGAGAGGACGAUCAGCCACACUGGGACUGAGACACGGCCCAGACUCCUACGGGAGGCAGCAGUGGGGAAUCUUGCGCAAUGGGCGAAAGCCUGACGCAGCGACGCCGUGUGCGGGAAGAAGGCCUUCGGGUUGUAAACCGCUUUCAGGAGGGACGAAGCCACUCGGGUUAAUAGCCUAGAGGGUGACGGUACCUCCAGAAGAAGCCCCGGCUAACUACGUGCCAGCAGCCGCGGUAAUACGUAGGGGGCUAGCGUUGUCCGGAUUUAUUGGGCGUAAAGAGCGUGUAGGCGGCCAGGUAGGUCCGGUGUGAAAACUCGAGGCUCAACCUCGAGAUGUCAUCGGAAACCAUUUGGCUAGAGUCCGGAAGAGGAGAGUGGAAUUCCUGGUGUAGCGGUGAAAUGCGCAGAUAUCAGGAAGAACACCUAUGGCGAAAGCAGCUCUCUGGGACGGUACUGA